UAACCGGCGAUUUCCGAAUGGGGAAACCCAGUGUGAUUCGUCACACUAUCAUUAACUGAAUCCAUAGGUUAAUGAGGCGAACCGGGGGAACUGAAACAUCUAAGUACCCCGAGGAAAAGAAAUCAACCGAGAUUCCCCCAGUAGCGGCGAGCGAACGGGGAGCAGCCCAGAGCCUGAAUCAGUGUGUGUGUUAGUGGAAGCGUCUGGAAAGGCGCGCGAUACAGGGUGACAGCCCCGUACACAAAAAUGCACAUAUUGUGAGCUCGAUGAGUAGGGCGGGACACGUGGUAUCCUGUCUGAAUAUGGGGGGCCCAUCCUCCAAGGCUAAAUACUCCUGACUGACCGAUAGUGAACCAGUACCGUGAGGGAAAGGCGAAAAGAACCCCGGCGAGGGGAGUGAAAAAGAACCUGAAACCGUGUACGUACAAGCAGUGGGAGCACGCUUAGGCGUGUGACUGCGUACCUUUUGUAUAAUGGGUCAGCGACUUAUAUUCUGUAGCAAGGUUAACCGAAUAGGGGAGCCGAAGGGAAACCGAGUCUUAACUGGGCGUUAAGUUGCAGGGUAUAGACCCGAAACCCGGUGAUCUAGCCAUGGGCAGGUUGAAGGUUGGGUAACACUAACUGGAGGACCGAACCGACUAAUGUUGAAAAAUUAGCGGAUGACUUGUGGCUGGGGGUGAAAGGCCAAUCAAACCGGGAGAUAGCUGGUUCUCCCCGAAAGCUAUUUAGGUAGCGCCUCGUGAAUUCAUCUCCGGGGGUAGAGCACUGUUUCGGCAAGGGGGUCAUCCCGACUUACCGACCCGAUGCAAACUGCGAAUACCGGAGAAUGUUAUCACGGGAGACACACGGCGGGUGCUAACGUCCGUCGUGAAGAGGGAAACAACCCAGACCGCCAGCUAAGGUCCCAAAGUCAUGGUUAAGUGGGAAACGAUGUGGGAAGGCCCAGACAGCCAGGAUGUUGGCUUAGAAGCAGCCAUCAUUUAAAGAAAGCGUAAUAGCUCACUGGUCGAGUCGGCCUGCGCGGAAGAUGUAACGGGGCUAAACCAUGCACCGAAGCUGCGGCAGCGACGCUUAUGCGUUGUUGGGUAGGGGAGCGUUCUGUAAGCCUGCGAAGGUGUGCUGUGAGGCAUGCUGGAGGUAUCAGAAGUGCGAAUGCUGACAUAAGUAACGAUAAAGCGGGUGAAAAGCCCGCUCGCCGGAAGACCAAGGGUUCCUGUCCAACGUUAAUCGGGGCAGGGUGAGUCGACCCCUAAGGCGAGGCCGAAAGGCGUAGUCGAUGGGAAACAGGUUAAUAUUCCUGUACUUGGUGUUACUGCGAAGGGGGGACGGAGAAGGCUAUGUUGGCCGGGCGACGGUUGUCCCGGUUUAAGCGUGUAGGCUGGUUUUCCAGGCAAAUCCGGAAAAUCAAGGCUGAGGCGUGAUGACGAGGCACUACGGUGCUGAAGCAACAAAUGCCCUGCUUCCAGGAAAAGCCUCUAAGCAUCAGGUAACAUCAAAUCGUACCCCAAACCGACACAGGUGGUCAGGUAGAGAAUACCAAGGCGCUUGAGAGAACUCGGGUGAAGGAACUAGGCAAAAUGGUGCCGUAACUUCGGGAGAAGGCACGCUGAUAUGUAGGUGAAGUCCCUUGCGGAUGGAGCUGAAAUCAGUCGAAGAUACCAGCUGGCUGCAACUGUUUAUUAAAAACACAGCACUGUGCAAACACGAAAGUGGACGUAUACGGUGUGACGCCUGCCCGGUGCCGGAAGGUUAAUUGAUGGGGUCAGCGCAAGCGAAGCUCUUGAUCGAAGCCCCGGUAAACGGCGGCCGUAACUAUAACGGUCCUAAGGUAGCGAAAUUCCUUGUCGGGUAAGUUCCGACCUGCACGAAUGGCGUAAUGAUGGCCAGGCUGUCUCCACCCGAGACUCAGUGAAAUUGAACUCGCUGUGAAGAUGCAGUGUACCCGCGGCAAGACGGAAAGACCCCGUGAACCUUUACUAUAGCUUGACACUGAACAUUGAGCCUUGAUGUGUAGGAUAGGUGGGAGGCUUUGAAGUG
rnacentral:rRNA from 1 species